rnacentral:rRNA from 1 species
GACGAACGCUGGCGGCGUGCUUAACACAUGCAAGUCGAACGGAAAGGCCCUGCUUUUGUGGGGUGCUCGAGUGGCGAACGGGUGAGUAACACGUGAGUAACCUGCCCUUGACUUUGGGAUAACUUCAGGAAACUGGGGCUAAUACCGGAUAGGAGCUCCUGCUGCAUGGUGGGGGUUGGAAAGUUUCGGCGGUUGGGGAUGGACUCGCGGCUUAUCAGCUUGUUGGUGGGGUAGUGGCUUACCAAGGCUUUGACGGGUAGCCGGCCUGAGAGGGUGACCGGCCACAUUGGGACUGAGAUACGGCCCAGACUCCUACGGGAGGCAGCAGUGGGGAAUAUUGCAAAAUGGGCGGAAGCCUGAUGCAGCAACGCCGCGUGCGGGAUGACGGCCUUCGGGUUGUAAACCGCUUUCGCAUGUGACGAAGCGUGAGUGACGGUAAUGGGUAAAGAAGCACCGGCUAACUACGUG